UGCGUAGGCGGGUUUCUAAGUCAGAGGUGAAAGCCUGGAGCUCAACUCCAGAACUGCCUUUGAUACUGGAAGUCUUGAGUAUGGCAGAGGUGAGUGGAACUGCGAGUGUAGAGGUGAAAUUCGCAGAUAUUCGCAAGAACACCAGUGGCGAAGGCGGCUCACUGGGCCAUUACUGACGCUGAGGCACGAAAGCGUGGGGAGCAAACA
rnacentral:rRNA from 1 species